rnacentral:rRNA from 1 species
AGAGUUUGAUCCUGGCUCAGGAUGAACGCUGGCGGCGUGCCUAAUACAUGCAAGUCGAGCGAGGGAAUUUAGAUUGAGGCUUCGGCCGAUUUCUAUUGGAACUAGCGGCGAACGGGUGAGUAAGACAUAGGCAACCUGCCCCAAGGACUGGGAUAACUGAGGGAAACCUUAGCUAAUACCGGAUAGGUAAAUGGAAGGCAUCUUCUAUUUAUUAAAGUUGGGUUUCCAACACCAUGGGAUGGGCUUAUGCUGUAUUAGCUUGUUGGUGAGGUAACGGCCCACCAAGGCCUACGGUUAGCUGGUCUGAGAGGAUGACCAGCCCCACUGGGACUGAGAUACUGCCCAGACUCCUACGGGAGGCUGCAGUCGAGGAUCAUUUGCAAUGGGCGAAAGCCUGACAAUGCGACGCUGCGUGGAGGAUGAAGGCCUUCGGGUUGUAAACUCCUGUCAUAGGGGAACAGGCGAUCCGACCUAAUACGUCGGUGAGUUGAGUGUACCCUAAGAGGAAUUGGCGGCUAACUCUGUGCCAGCAGCCGCGGUAAUACAGAGGCCAAGAGCGUUGUUCGGAUUUACUGGGCGUAAAGGGCGCGUAGGCGGUCUUGCGUGUCAAGUGUGAAAUCUCCGGGCUCAACCCGGAAAGUGCGCUUGAAACUACAGGACUCGAGUCUGGGAGAGGGAAUCGGAAUACAGGGUGUAGCGGUGAAAUGCGUUGAUAUCCUGUAGAACACCGGAGGCGAAGGCGGAUUCCUUGAACAGUACUGACGCUGAGGCUCGAAAGUGUGGGUAUCAAACAGGAUUAGAUACCCUGGUAGUCCACACGGUAAACGAUGAAUACUCGCGGUUUGCGAUACAAUGUAAGCCGCCAAGCGAAAGCAUUAAGUAUUCCACCUGGGGAGUACGCCGGCAACGGUGAAACUCAAAGGAAUUGACGGGGGCCCGCACAAGCGGAGGAACAUGUGGUUUAAUUCGAUGAUACGCGAGGAACCUUACCCGGGCUUGAACUGCAGGGGAAUCGGGGCAGAGACGUCCCGAGUCUUCGGACUCCUGUAGAGGUGCUGCAUGGUUGUCGUCAGCUCGUGCCGUGAGGUGUCGGCUUAAGUGCCAUAACGAGCGCAACCCUUUUCCCUGUUUGCCAUCAGGUAGAGCUGGGCACUCCAGGGACACUGCCAUCGUAAGAUGUGAGGAAGGUGGGGAUGACGUCAAAUCAGCACGGCCCUUACGUCCGGGGCUACACACGUGUUACAAUGGGCGGUACAGAGGGCAGCCACCUAGUGAUAGGGCGCUAAUCCUAAAAACCGUUCUCAGUUCGGAUCGGAGUCUGCAACCCGACUCCGUGAAGCUGGAUUCGCUAGUAAUCGCGCAUCAGCCAUGGCGCGGUGAAUACGAUGCCGGGCCUUGCACUCACCGCCGGUCAAG